AAGCCCCAUAUGUACUACACGAUUACAUGGAUAAUUAAACAAGACAAAACUGUUACAAUACGACAAAAGGCAAUUGCAGGCAAUGCCACAUUCCGUCUAACAGAAUCGGAUUUGAAAGACAACAAAAUAAUCAUGGGUUUUAAUAUUAUUUGUGGCGUACAGGUAUCAGCAGCUCCAAAUGGCCAGAACAC